AGGGCUGGGUUUGGAGAAAAGAUGAACUCAGAUUUGAAUUGUAAGUAAAAUUCCCACCUGCUCCCCAAGUCAGCGCACUUAAGGAAAAGAUAUCACAUCCUGAAAACACUAACACAGGUUGCAAAAACUGCUUCUUGCGGACCAAGUGGGCUGAACAAACUGCACUGGAGAAGGAAGACGACACGAAAAGGUGCAAAGGUGGCCAACAGAUGAGGAAACUUGAGCUGGCCGGGAGUCUCCUUACAGCUGCUUCCAAAUUAAGCAUAUCUGGAUGGUGUGACACUUUUUGUUAGUCCGAGAACUGUAUGGGCAUCGCAACUGGGCCUGUUUCAAGACAGACUUGUUGGAACCUUCAAAUCAUGUACCUUACAGGUGGCCAUUUUGUCUUUUGACGUUGAUAUUUUCCUCCAAUCAAAAGUCUUGUGGGAAUAAAUUCUGUGUUUAAUUUAUCCUUAUGGCCUCUGCGUUUUGUGUCCCACUUAUAAUGCUCUUCCAUACCCCUACAUUGGUGUUCCCUACCCUGGCAAAAAAUAAUGCUAUCAUGAAGCCCCAAAUGAGUAAGCCUUACCUUUUACAUUCAAGCUUCCAGUCAUCUUUUUAGUGACCCAUUCUUUUUUUUUUUUUUUCCCCCUGUUUUUUCCCCUUCAUUUUAAUAAACACUUUACAAAGUACAAAAUAUACUAUCUUUUGGGGAAAACAUUAGGUACUUUUUUCUCUCCAUCAUACAGUUACAUGAAUCUCGAGGGCUUUGUGUUUCUUCAACAAGAACAUAAGCAUGAAGGCCCCAGGAGGUUAGGAUAGGAUGGUCAAUUCUCCCCUUCACCUAGACCUUGGGACCAAUGAAGCAUCACUGCUAUGGACGGUGACCUGUGCAUGCCAAGUGAGGGCCAGAGGGGGCCAUGGGCAGGCAGGAAGUCCUCCUAUUUAGCUUUAAUGAUCAGUGUUCCAUUGUGAGCCUUAUGAUAACUAUGUUAUUUUAUGUAUUUUAAAGGUGAAACAAUUGUUAGCUAAGAUGGGGUUCUGGACAGGGCCCCUCAGAGCUCCACCACGCACCCACGGUCCACUCGUCCCCAUCUCUCAAGAUACAUAUAAAUGAUUUUGGCAUACAGCAAGAUGAAGGCUUGGAACUGUUUCGCUCUUAGCACCCUAAUGUUGUGGAGCCAACUCUGCUCAACUCUUCCUGGACCAUCUUCUGAAUGUAGGUAAACUGAGGCAGUGGACAGGAAAAUGUACUGAGCUUGGGCUGUCUUGAAACCUGAAUUUAACCUGCUUUUCACCCCACACCAGAGUUGGGGUCUCCAACUUUCUUGGACACCCUUCCAGGAUGACCCCCAAUAGGUGUGGGGUUGGUACUCCAUUCUUAAACAGUCAGCCAAUUAUCAGAAGAUUCUGAGCAAAUAGAACAAUGCAGAUAAGUGAAUGGAAUAGAAAAAGUGUAGUAAAUGGACUACUUAGGGCAAAAAAUCUUUUAAAAACCUAUCCUUAGAGUAAUGAGAAAAUAACACAAUCAUGAAACAAGAACAGAAUACAUACACAGUUGGCCCUCCAUAGCCACAGGUUGCCCACAUCCACAGACAGAAAAUACUUGGAGAAACAGGAUGCUUGCUUCUAUACAGAACAUGUACAAACCAUUUUUUCUUGUCAUGAUUCCCUAAACAAUCCAGUAUAACAACUAUUUACAUAGCAUUUACACAGCAUUAGAUAUUAUAAAUAAUCUAGAAAUGAUCUAAAGUAUACAGGAGGAUGUGUGGAGGUUUUUGGCAAACACUACUCCCUUUUGUAUCAGGGACUUAAGCAUUUGCAGAUUUUAGUAUCUGUAGGGGUCCUGGAAACAAUCCCCCAUAGAUGCUGAGGGACAACUGUAUGUAAUGAACAUUCGGGUAACAGGUCUACUUAGAGAUUUUGAAUGUUAAUGAAAAUUUAAAACUUCAUAAAAAGGUAGGAUGAUAAAGUCAAGGAAAUCUCCCAAUAAAAAUCAGAAACAAGAGAAAAGAUAAGAAAGUUAAAGAAGUGAUCCAAAAAUCUAGUUUUUGAAUAGUAACAUUUUCAGACAGACAGCAGGAAAAGUGUGAUAAAAAUUAAAUGAAUAAUUAAAGAGACUUGCUCUCGGUGAAAUGGACAUACCUGAGGUGUCUGAAUAUUUGAAUGUCAUUCAUCUUUGUAGUCCCAGAGUCAGAUACAAAUCAGAUAACCCAAAUAUUUGAAAGACUAAUCAUUACCAAAGUUUGGGGUCUUUGAAAUAAAAUGAAUAAAGGAAUAAUGCUUGAGAAACAGAAUUAGUAAGGCUAAGUCCUCUUAGUAUUAAUAUUGAAUACAAAUAUUUUAUAAUCUAGCAUUCAGUAUCUUGCACUGGUAGCAAGUGAGCUGUACCUGGAAGCUGUCACCACUUGCCCAAAAGCUGAAAAAUGAGAACCAAGCUACUGUGUGGCCUAAUCAAAAAGUUGUCAGUAAGAACACCCCUGAUAUAGAGUAGCAAAUAGAGCAACUAGAGAGCUAAAUUUUUCAUCAAAAUUAUUUGUAAGUAUUUGGCAGAGAAGUGAUACAGACAAACGUUAGACAGGGUCUCACUCUGCCGCCCAGGCUGGCGUGCAACGGCACAAUUACAACUC